rnacentral:rRNA from 1 species
AACGAACGUUGGCGGCGUGGAUUAGGCAUGCAAGUCGAACGCGUGAGAGGGGCUUGCUCCUCAAGCGAGUGGCGAACGGGUGAGUAACGCGUGGGAAACCUGCCCCGAAGCGUGGAAUAACACUCCCAACGGGGUGCUAAUACCGCAUGGUAUCGCCGGGUGGCAUCAUUUGGCGAUUAAAGGUGGGGACCGUAAGGCCUGCCACUUUGGGAUGGUCCCGCGUCUGAUUAGCUUGUUGGUGAGGUAACGGCUCACCAAGGCGACGAUCAGUAGCUGGUCUGAGAGGACGAUCAGCCACACUGGGACUGAGACACGGCCCAGACUCCUACGGGAGGCAGCAGUGGGGAAUUUUGGACAAUGGGCGAAAGCCUGAUCCAGCCAUGCCGCGUGAGUGAAGAAGG